GACGAACGCUGGCGGCGUGCCUAAUACAUGCAAGUCGAACGCAGUGGGGACGGGUGAGUAACACGUGGGUAACCUCCCAUCAGAGGGGAUAACACUUGGAAACAGGUGCUAAACCGAUACUGAUGGAUGGACCCGCGGUGCAUUAGCUAGUUGGUGAGGUAACGGCCCACCAAGGCCACGAUGCAUAGCGGACCUGAGGGGUUGAUCGGCCACCGGGGGACUGAGACAGGGCCCAGACUCCUAGGGGGGGCAGCAGUGGGAAAUUUUCGGCAAGGGAGAAAAGUCUGAGCGAGCAACGCCGCGUUAGUGAAGAAGGUUUUCGGCUCGUAAAUCUUUGUUGUUAGAGAAGCGUUAUCUAACCAGAAGGCCACGGCUAACUACGUGCCAGCAGCCGCGUAAUAC
rnacentral:rRNA from 1 species